rnacentral:rRNA from 1 species
UACGAAGGGGGCUAGCGUUGCUCGGAAUCACUGGGCGUAAAGCGCUCGUAGGCGGAUUGUUAAGUCAGGUGUGAAAUCCUGGAGCUCAACUCCAGAACUGCCUUUGAUACUGGCGGUCUUGAGUCCGGGAGAGGUGAGUGGAACUCCGAGUGUAGAGGUGAAAUUCGUAGAUAUUCGGAAGAACACCAGUGGCGAAGGCGGCUCACUGGCCCGGUACUGACGCUGAGGUGCGAAAGCGUGGGGAGCAAACAGG